GUCGGGAUAGCUCAGUCG
rnacentral:tRNA from 5 species